UACGAAGGGGGCUAGCGUUGCUCGGAAUCACUGGGCGUAAAGCGCACGUAGGCGGAUCUUUAAGUCAGGGGUGAAAUCCUGGAGCUCAACUCCAGAACUGCCUUUGAUACUGGGGAUCUCGAGUCCGGGAGAGGUGAGUGGAACUGCGAGUGUAGAGGUGAAAUUCGUAGAUAUCAAGAGGAACACCUGAGGUGAAGACGGGUUGCUGGGCUGACACUGACGCUGAGGCGCGAAAGCCAGGGGAGCAAACGGG
rnacentral:rRNA from 1 species